CUAACGUAGGGUAGAUCUCGCCGCGGAUAGUGCUUUAUUUCAUCAAAGGGACAACAAGGAAGCCGAGAUAACGCCGCAUGCUUCACAGAAAGGAGUACUUCGGAAUGGAGGAGUAUGCGCGGCACGCACGACGUGGCUCGAUCAUCCAUAAUCGUGUGCAGACGCAAUAACCGAGCUUGCGAUACAUCCUCCGCAAAAUUCCUCAAAGAGGAACGCUAUAUUCUGUGGAGGAACAUCGAUGCAAGUGACUUUUGUAGGUUUGACAGAAACUAGAAUUCUUGCUGAAAGAAUAAUUGAACUUGCUAUUGAAAAUAGUCUCUACUCGCAAAGUUCUAAUUAGACGUUAAGAAAGGGGAGUGGAUGAAGGAAUUAUAGGAGCAAUGAAACAAUGUGAGAAGCUGGGGCCGAAAGGGUUGUUUACUCUUACUCAUGCGGGUUAUCGGAAGUGUCGGCUUGGAUCGCUGAACGAUCGGAGGAUUUUAUGCGGGCACUGCAAAUUAAAUAGUCUAUGCAGAACACAAUACUCUACCCAUUGUAAUGUUUAUGGCAAGUUCUCCGAUAUAUGCACGUCGUACAAAUAUUUUCUUAGAACUGUCACGUUUAUUUUAAAGCGACUAUUUACCACCAAAAAGGUUAGGAUAAAACUUUGUCUUUCUUAUAUUAUAUUAUAAAUAGACAUAGGCGUUACCUUUAACAUCUUGGCAUCAGCCAAGAUCAUAUUGAUUUGUAAAAUUUGCCUGACUAAAGAGAUCGACCGUCUCCGGUUCCGAUGAAACGGUUCUACAACAUGGGUUCCAGAUUUCAGGGUGACGAUAGAGAGCCAGUGAGAGUGAGAGAGAAAGGUGGAGAGAACAAGAACGUUGCUCGCUAUUGUUUUCUCGAGUGGCGCUCGCUGGUUCAAUGCUCGCCCGCUCUGGUAGACCGGUACCAGAUGUACCCGGACCGCCUGGUUUCAACCGUGAUAUCACAUCACCCCAUUCGUCACGAUUACGCCUUUCAGCAUGCCAAAAUGUUUUUCAUUUUUCGCAUCAAAACCAACAUCUUACAAGUCUUCUAAUGGUAAUAACUGAAUUUUUCGUUUUAGAAAGGACUGGUCGAAAGGAUUUCUGGACAUGCAGUCGUAUCGGGAAAUUCAACAAAGAAGAUAUUUAGCCAACACUAAAUCAUAUAUAUAUUUUUUCUUCAAGUAAAUACAAUAUAAAAGUCACCACAUGUGAUGUGCAUGAUAUCAUAAUGAAAAGGUUUUACGUAGUUUCUUCGCUUAGUUGUAUACCAACGAUAUGUACGAACGACGGGUACGCGGUGCAAUCUGUGCAAGCUGUGGUGUAAAGAAAAAGAAGAAAUCUAUCAAAUAUAUACAAUACAAUUUCUCAAAACAGAGUUAUUCGUCACAAUACUAUCCCGUGCAAAAAUAUUUCUCAAUUUCUUCGAUAUUAUUAUUAUCUCUUUGUUUGUCAAAAUAGUCUCGGUAUUUUGGUUAGGACGAGAUCUAAAGAAAAUGAACGAACAGUUUCAGCUGUUUCAUCAAAUAUUUUGUAUUAUAAUCAAUGAUUAUAUAUAAAUACUACUGUGAUUCAAAAAAUAUGUAAUUCGGUCUGUGUACCGACAACGAUGAACAAUCUCUAUCGAAAUUUACGUUAAAAUCCUUGUUGAUUCAUUCACCGGCGUAUCUGAAUGAUCUUUUUCGUAACAAAAAAGGACUAAAUUGCGCUGAUUAUCAACAUUCGCACGAACUGUGUUUCAACAUAACAUGAUUACUCGAGUUUUGAUUGUACAAUGAAAUUUCUGUUAACAAAUUGUGCUCGCUUACAGAUUGCUCCUUCUACUUCUAAUAAAAGUUACGCAGUCGAAGCGCAAUCUUUAGCGAUUAUUUAAUUUAUUAGACAUUUCUUUUUUUCUUUUCUUCGUGUGUUUACGCUGGAGUUCGCGUGAAAUUACAGUUGACACGUUUUUACGUCUCUAAGUCGUAAAUAAUAAUCGUCAUCACAGAUUAUAUUAUGCGUUCACUAUAUACCUUGCAAUUAAAAAGAAAUUAUAUUAAUCGUAUAAAUGCUAUGUAGGUGACAAUACCCUGCGUUAAUCGCAACUUCCGUAAAUUUUUGUAUAGAAACGAAUUCUGGAAUGAAGUCAACGUAUUACAUAUUCAUUAUAUCAUCAUAUAUACCCAAAUUUAUGGAUAUCUGGUACAGAA